AGGUGACAAUUGUAAACAGUACCCUAGUAAGAUGGCGGACAGUUAUGCCAUUUGUUAUGACGUCAUGUCAUAUCUAUUGUUCUCUUCUAUUGUGCUUUU